rnacentral:rRNA from 1 species
GAUGAACGCUGGCGGCGUGCUUAACACAUGCAAGUCGAACGAUGAAAGCGGGAGCUUGCUCCUGCUGGAUUAGUGGCGAACGGGUGAGUAACACGUGCGCAAUCUGCCCCGAACUCUGGGAUAAGCGUUGGAAACGACGUCUAAUACCGGAUACGACGCGCGAAGGCAUCUUCUGCGCGUGGAAAGAACUUCGGUUCGGGAUGAGCUCGCGGCCUAUCAGCUAGUUGGUGAGGUAACGGCCCACCAAGGCGACGACGGGUAGCCGGCCUGAGAGGGUGACCGGCCACACUGGGACUGAGACACGGCCCAGACUCCUACGGGAGGCAGCAGUGGGGAAUAUUGCACAAUGGGCGCAAGCCUGAUGCAGCAACGCCGCGUGAGGGACGACGGCCUUCGGGUUGUAAACCUCUUUUAGUAGGGAAGAGGCGAAAGUGACGGUACCUGCAGAAAAAGCACCGGCUAACUACGUGCCAGCCGUCGCAGUAACAC